GAUGAUGAAUUAAAUGGCCGCAGUAUUUUGACUGUGCAAAGGUAGCAUAAUCAAUAGCUCUUUAAUUUGGGGCUGGUAUGAAUGGUAGGAUGAAAUGGAUUCUGUCUUUAUAGUAUGACAUUGAUAUUUACUUUUAGGUGAUAAGGCUUAAAUUUGAUAAUUAGACGAGAAGACCCUAUUAAGCUUUAUAUUUAUGAGGUUGUUAAUUUUUUAUAAAUUGUCUAGAGAUUUUUUUAAGUAUUAUGUUGGGGCAACAUUGAAGCGAAAUUCUUUAAUAUUAAAUUUAUAUUAUGUGUUUUGAUCCAAAAUUUUUGACUAUGAGAUUAAGUUACUAUAGGGAUAACAGCAUAAUUUGUUUGGAGAGUUCUUAUCGAUAAAUGGGAUUGUGACCUCGAUGUUGGUUUAUUAAGUCUAUGGGAUGAAGGAGUUUCACUAGAG
rnacentral:rRNA from 1 species